GUCUUGACUCUACAGAACUUUUUGUCUCAUUGAUAAUGUUGCUCCUUGUCCUCAUGAUAUUUUCCCUUUGUAAGGAUAAUGUUGAUGCUGAAUUGAUAACAUCAUUCUUCACAAAGCAGCAUGUUUUGGCAGGAAGAGAUGUUACACUUUCCUGCAACUACAGUGGUAAUGUUCGCAGUCUGCAGUGGUACCGUCAGCAUCCCGGAUCCAAACCUGAAAAUAUAAUUUAUUACACUGAGAGCAGCAGUCAGUCAGAGCCCAAGCUUCGUCUGUACGCUGUGGCCGAUAAAGAAAUCAAACUUAUGAAUCUGAGCAUAUCUUCUACACAAAUGGAUGAUUCUGCUCUGUACUACUGUGCUCUGCAGCCCACAGUGACAGGAAACACAACUGCACUGUACAAAAACAGACAAUCAGGACACACACUGUAA